GUAUGUGUAAACCCUAUUAUAAAAUUUUUUAGUAUUGUGCCUUGCGAUUGGUAUUUUUAUUUUAUAUUUCGUGAAUUUCGCUACGGUUCUUAAUUUCAUACAUUAGCCUAUACACGUCACUCGCGACGUGAAAACAGGGUGCACAAUCGCUUUGUUACGUCAUAAAAUGUCUGUAUGACAUCGCGUUAUACCCGCUUCGCCAUCGCUCGCGAAUAUUAUGUCAUAGUCCGGUUCACACCCGAGAGCCCACGUUUGCGACGUCACAUUGCGGUUUCUUCUAUGCGCUUGCUUUUCGCGAGAUUUUAUCGUGGGGCCCCAUGCGCGCUUUGCGUCGUCGCAAGGCACAUUACUUAUACUUUCAUAUUAAUUUUACUCCCAAGUAUAUUCGUGGUGUUAGCACAAAAUGAAACCUGAAGAACAAAGAUUUGGUAAAGUAUAAAUCACAAUAGGCAUUGUUACGUACACCAGUUCUUUUCUAGAUAACAUUAGAGAUGUGACGUCACGAAGUGGUGAUGACGCAACAGAAGAACUUACUUCAACCUGAUAUGUGACGUCACUAAGGAUCAAGACGAAAGAGCGCGAAUCGGGAAUAAAGAAAAGUCAGCGUGUACAUGAUGCAAAAGAAGAUCACAAGAAACAAGCAAAAACAAAGACGACGGUAAAGUUCCCGGUUUGAGGUUUUGCUUAGGAGUUGUGUGUUGUUGGGGUGUGGUUGCUGGAGCACUCUUACAGUGUUGCCGGGUGUUUGUGUCUUAUUUUUGCUGGACCUAAUGUGGCCAGCCUUUUUAUCAGCCACUACUUUGGUGCAUUUUGCAUUUCACUGAAAUAUAAGCAAUGAAACUAUGGCGAACAUCUUGCUGGAUCGGAUUUUGUUGUUGUACACGUCAUUACGUGUUUCUUCUGCAAAGGUCGAUUCCUUUAACGUUCUGCAUUGUCCUAAUCACUUAAUAAGAACGGCAUGUUGGUACACAAAUACUUGAGUAAUAUCCAAGCGCAUUAUAAUAUACACGCAGUUAAACCUUUGGGUUUAAUGUACCUUUUCAUUAAUUGAAUGUCCCCGUUAACCUACUGCUAUUUUUCUACAAAAGCCUAAUUGUGACGCUGGCCACGUUGCAAUUACGCUAUGACGUCGAUGGGUCUUUAGGGCCCCGCGUUUGGUGCGGUUACGUCACGGUUCUAGAUUGAGUUACGUUACUGUUGGGUUGUUGCGUGGACGUCGCCGCCAGUGAUGCUACGCUCGGUUAUUUAGGUCACUGUGAAUGCGGUUCGUAACAACCUGACGAAGUUCCGUAACGGUCGAAGCGGUGCUUAACAUCCAAACGAUAUUAUAUUGCGUGGAGAUGCGACGAGAGUAUCGCGGUACCAACGUGACGACUCACCUU